CCCUUAGAUGUUCUGGGCCGCAUGCGCGCUACACUGACAGAGCCAGCGAGUUCUUUUUCCUUGGCCGGAAGGUCAUGGGUAAUCUUGUGAAACUCUGUCGUGCUGGGGAUAGAGCAUUGCAAUUAUUGCUCUUCAACGAGGAAUUCCUAGUAAGCGUGAGUCAUCAGCUCGCGUUGAUUACGUCCCUGCCCUUUGUACACACCGCCCGUCGCUACUACCGAUUGAACGUUUUAGUGAGGUACUCGGACUGAGCCUCAGAAGAUUCACGUCUUUUGUGCUGCUCGGGAAGAUUCCCAAACUUGAGCGUUUAGAGGAAGUAAAANUCGUANCA
rnacentral:rRNA from 1 species